AGUUUGAUCCUGGCUCAGGACGAACGCUGGCGGCGUGCUUAACACAUGCAAGUCGAGCGAUGAAAUUCCUUCGGGGAUUGAUUAGCGGCGGACGGGUGAGUAACACGUGGGUAACCUGCCUCAUAGAGGGGAAUAGCCUUCCGAAAGGAAGAUUAAUACCGCAUAAGAUUGUAGUAUCGCAUGAUAUAGCAAUUAAAGGAGCAAUCCGCUAUGAGAUGGACCCGCGUCGCAUUAGCUAGUUGGUGAGGUAACGGCUCACCAAGGCGACGAUGCGUAGCCGACCUGAGAGGGUGAUCGGCCACAUUGGGACUGAGACACGGCCCAGACUCCUACGGGAGGCAGCAGUGGGGAAUAUUGCACAAUGGGGGAAACCCUGAUGCAGCAACGCCGCGUGAGUGAUGACGGUCUUCGGAUUGUAAAGCUCUGUCUUCAGGGACGAUAAUGACGGUACCUGAGGAGGAAGCCACGGCUAACUACGUGCCAGCAGCCGCGGUAAUACGUAGGUGGCAAGCGUUGUCCGGAUUUACUGGGCGUAAAGGGAGCGUAGGUGGAUAUUUAAGUGGGAUGUGAAAUACUCGGGCUUAACCUGGGUGCUGCAUUCCAAACUGGAUAUCUAGAGUGCAGGAGAGGAAAGUAGAAUUCCUAGUGUAGCGGUGAAAUGCGUAGAGAUUAGGAAGAAUACCAGUGGCGAAGGCGACUUUCUGGACUGUAACUGACACUGAG
rnacentral:rRNA from 1 species